rnacentral:rRNA from 1 species
UGGGGAAUAUUGCACAAUGGGCGAAAGCCUGAUGCAGCGACGCCGCGUGAGGGAUGACGGCCUUCGGGUUGUAAACCUCUUUCAGCAGGGAAGAAGCGAAAGUGACGGUACCUGCAGAAGAAGCGCCGGCUAACUACGUGCCAGCAGCCGCGGUAAUACGUAGGGCGCAAGCGUUGUCCGGAAUUAUUGGGCGUAAAGAGCUCGUAGGCGGUUAGUCGCGUCUGCUGUGAAAACUCGAGGCUCAACCUCGGGCUUGCAGUGGGUACGGGCUGACUAGAGUGCGGUAGGGGGUGACUGGAAUUCCUGGUGUAGCGGUGGAAUGCGCAGAUAUCAGGAGGAACACCGAUGGCGAAGGCAGGUCACUGGGCCGCAACUGACGCUGAGGAGCGAAAGCAUGGGGAGCGAACAGGAUUAGAUAGCCCUGGUAGUCCAUGCCGUAAACGUUGGGCACUAGGUGUGGGGUCCAUUUCCACGGAUUCCGUGCCGCAGCAAACGCAUUAAGUGCCCCGCCUGGGGAGUACGGCCGCAAGGCUAAAACUCAAAUGAAUUGACGGGGUC